rfam:Xanthomonadales bacterium 63-13 scnpilot_p_inoc_scaffold_68, whole genome shotgun sequence.
GGAGUCGGCCAGGCAGUCGCGACGUGUUUCGACACGGCGAGGAAAGUCCGGGCUCCGCAGGGCAAGGUGCCAGGUAACGCCUGGGCGGCGUGAGCCGACGGAAAGUGCAACAGAAAGCAAACCGCCGAACGGCAUCGCAAGGUGCGCGUGGCAAGGGUGAAACGGUGUGGUAAGAGCACACCGCAUGCGGGGUCAACGCCGCAUGGCACGGCAAACCCCACCUGGAGCAAGACCAAAUAGGGGAGCCAUGGCGCGGCCCGCGUCGCUCCCGGGUUGGUUGCUUGAAUCCUGCGGCGACGCAGGAUCCAGAGGAAUGGCUGCCCACGACAAAACCCGGCUUAUCGGCCGACUCCUUCU